rnacentral:rRNA from 1 species
UACGGGGGGGGCAAGCGUUGUUCGGAAUUACUGGGCGUAAAGGGCUCGUAGGUGGCCAACUAAGUCAGACGUGAAAUCCCUCAGCUUAACUGGGGAACUGCGUCUGAUACUGGAUGGCUUGAGUUUGGGAGAGGGAUGCGGAAUUCCAGGUGUAGCGGUGAAAUGCGCAGAUAUCAGGAGGAACACCGGUGGCGAAGGCGGGUCUCUGGGCCGAUACUGACGCUGAGGCGCGAAAGCGUGGGGAGCGAACAGG